GUACGCUGGCGGCACGCCUAACACAUGCAAGUCGAACGAAGUAGCAAUACUUAGUGGCAGACGGGUGAGUAACAUGUAGGUAUCUACCCUUUGGCCUGGAAUAACACGAGGAAACUUGUGCUAAUACCGGAUAAGUCUUUACGGAGAAAGCUUUAUGCACCAUUGGAUGAGCCUGCACUUGAUUAGUUUGUUGGUGGGGUAAUGGCCUACCAAGACUGUGAUCAAUAGCUGAUUUGAGAGGAUGAUCAGCCACAUUGGGACUGAGACACGGCCCAAACUCCUACGGGAGGCAGCAGUGGGGAAUCUUGCACAAUGGAGGAAACUCUGAUGCAGCGAUGCCGCGUGAGUGAAGAAGGCCUUUGGGUUGUAAAGCUCUUUCGUCGGGGAAGAAAAUGACUGUACCCGAAUAAGAAGGUCCGGCUAA
rnacentral:rRNA from 1 species